rnacentral:rRNA from 1 species
UACGGGGGGGGCAAGCGUUGUUCGGAAUUACUGGCGUAAAGGGCUCGUAGGCGGCCAACUAAGUCAGACGUGAAAUCCCCAGGCUCAACCUGGGAACUGCGUCUGAUACUGGAUGGCUUGAAUUCGGGAGAGGGAUGCAGAAUUCCAGGUGUAGCGGUGAAAUGCGUAGAUAUCUGGAGGAAUACCGGUGGCGAAGGCGGCAUCCUGGACCGACAUUGACGCUGAUGAGCGAAAGCUAGGGGAGCAAACGGGG